UACGUAGGGCGCAAGCGUUUAUCCGGAAUUAUUGGGCGUAAAGAGCUCGUAGGCGGUUUGUCGCGUCUGCCGUGAAAGUCCGGGGCUCAACUCCGGAUCUGCGGUGGGUACGGGCAGACUAGAGUGAUGUAGGGGAGACUGGAAUUCCUGGUGUAGCGGUGAAAUGCGCAGAUAUCAGGAGGAACACCGAUGGCGAAGGCAGGUCUCUGGGCCACUACUGACGCUGAGAAGCGAAAGCAUGGGGGAGCGAACAGG
rnacentral:rRNA from 1 species